rnacentral:lncRNA from 1 species
UUUCGACUAUGCUCACUUUGCCCUCACUGAAGGAAGAAAAGGUAACGAUCAGACUGCAGCGGUAAGUUCACCAUCCAAAGAGGCCUACAGGAAGCAAUUGGCUGAGACCAUGAAUCUCAAUCACACUCGGAUUCUCGCCUUCAGAAACAAACCUCAGGCUCCUGUAGAACUGCUUCCCAGCAAUCACUCUGCUUCUCUUCACCAACAGCCCAAAUCCGUAAAGCCUCGUCGAUACAUUCCUCAGGUUUGUUCUUGUUACUUUUGCGUUUGAAAUUAAAUAGCCACCUAGUUGUUACUUUGGAGUUGUAUUGACCUGUUGUUAAACUUUGUGUUGUAAUAAUAGACUUCUGAGAGAACCUUGGAUGCACCUGACAUUGUGGAUGAUUUCUACCUCAACUUGCUGGACUGGGGCAGUGCAAAUGUCUUAGCCAUAGCCUUGGACCACACUGUCUACUUGUGGGAUGCUUCCACUGGUUCUACAUCUGAGCUUGUGACCAUUGAUGAAGAGAAGGGACCUGUCACAAGUAUCAACUGGGCUCCUGAUGGUCGUCAUGUUGCUGUUGGACUCAACAACUCUGAAGUCCAGCUGUGGGAUUCUGCAUCCAACCGUCAAGUAAUUACUAUAAUCCUUCUCUUAUUUUGAGAUAUAAUAUCCUGUUUGUCAUGUCUUAACCUUUGAAUUGGACUUUUCUGCAGCUGAGAACAUUGAGUGGUUGCCACCAGUCUAGAGUAGGAUCACUGGCAUGGAACAAUCAUAUCUUAACAACUGGAGGAAUGGACGGACAGAUUGUCAACAACGAUGUACGGAUCAGAUCACAUAUUGUGGAAACCUACAGGGGUCACACCCAAGAGGUUUGUGGUCUCAAGUGGUCAGGAUCUGGACAGCAACUAGCAAGUGGAGGCAACGACAAUGUCGUACACAUAUGGGAUCGGUCUGUUGCUUCCUUAAACUCAACCACACAAUGGCUCCACAGGGUUGAGGAACAUACAUCUGCUGUGAAAGCUCUUGCGUGGUGCCCUUUCCAAGCGAAUUUGCUUGCAACAGGUGGUGGUGGAGGAGAUAGGACGAUCAAAUUCUGGAAUACUCACACCGGGGCUUGCUUGAAUUCAGUAGACACUGGCUCUCAAGUUUGUUCUUUGUUAUGGAGCAAGAAUGAAAGAGAGUUGCUUAGCUCACAUGGGUUUACACAGAAUCAGCUCACACUUUGGAAGUAUCCAUCCAUGGUGAAAAUGGCUGAGCUCAGUGGUCAUACAUCAAGAGUUCUAUAUAUGGCCCAGGUAAAGAAAAACAACUUAAUCAAUUUUAACUGUUCAAAGUAGUUAGAGAUGUUUGAGGUCUGUAGUCCUAAAACUUGUGUUUUUUUGUGUUGUGUUUCUUGCAGAGUCCUGAUGGUUGUACCGUAGCUUCAGCAGCAGGAGACGAGACUUUGAGGUUUUGGAAUGUUUUUGGAGUACCAGAGACUGCCAAAAAAGCUGCACCAAAAGCAGUUUCCGAGCCAUUUUCUCAUGUGAAUCGUAUUCGUUGAAGCUUGUGAAGACUAACAAGAAGGAGAGCCAUUGAUACAGCUGCAAAAUAUUCAAUUUUGUUUUCUCGGAUUCAUUCUUCAUGAAUUGUAUUGACAAGAAAAGUGCACAUUGUACAAUUUUAUAUAUGUAAAUUCUUGAGUCAAACUUAAUUGUACAAUGUUGAAUAGAAAGAAAGAUUUUGAUUAUAAAUGUAACAUGUCAGAUAAGCAGAGAAUACAUGUCAGAUGAUACAAGAAGCAUAAGGACUGUAAUCUGUAAGAUGGUAAUUGUAACUUCAUCAAAAUAGACAUUUAAAACCACGCUAAUCUAAUCACACUAGUGUGUAGUGUCAAGUGUGUACAGUGUAUUCUUACUGUGAUUGGAAUUUCGUAAGAGUUUUUUUUUUUUUUUUCAUUCUCAAGUACUCAUGCUAUGUAAUUGUGUUAUACUUCAUUCUCAGUUUAAUGAACUGAUUAAGCUUUUGUUGUAGUCUUUUCGCCCAAUAAAAAUAAAAUAUUCAGGUUAUAAAAAAUAAAACAAAAUAAAAUCUGUCCAUUAAAAAAAAGGGGAUAUAAAAUUUUUAUUUGAUAAAAUAAUAAUAAAACAAAUAUUAUCACACAUAACAAGUCUUUACCAUAAACCAGAGAUUAUUCACUAAAAAUCAUCCACCCUCUAACCCAAACCAAAUAUUAUGGAGGUUAAAACAAAAACAAUUAUUUACACGAAUCAUACAUCGAAAUACGUUGGAUGGUCUAAGGUAGAUGAUAAAUGGUUAUUGUGGUUCAUUUCCUGUAUGAAACUUUUUUUUGUUUUUGUAUAAUUCUAGAUUGAAGGUAACUAUGGUGUUUAAUUUAUGUGAGUGUUAACCUCUUUUUAGUACCAAUAAUUAUUUAACUAUUUUCAUUAUUACUAUUGUUACAUUUCCUGUUUUUUCAAUAUACAAAUAUUAAAACGAGACAUAGAAUUAGGGUUGCCUAAUUGCCGUCUCUUCGGCGGUAUAGAGGGCUUUUUCCGUGAACAUAAUUUUCAACGGCUCUCUCAGAUUUAUAGCCGUUACCGACUUUCCGAUUAUAGAAUUAGACUCCCCCAAAACCCUAAAUUGACUCUACUGCUUUUAUAAAUAACCCCAAAUUUCGUACCUUUUCAAUCACCUUAAUCUGCUCUAGCUCUCUCAUCAUCAGCGAAGAACAACUCUUCGCUCUCUCUGCUCGAAUUCACUGACGAUCCCUUCUAGUUUGAUUUGAUUCGUCUUUAUCUAGUUUCGUUUAUAUCUUCUAAUCAAUUUCGUAUAUCAUCGCUUUUGUGUGUUUUGGGAUUUUCUUUGUGUUUAGUGAUAAUGGAUGCAGGUUUGAAUCGGUGCCCACUUCAAGAACACUUUCUUCCCAGAAAAAGUUCCAAGGAAAAUGUAAGUAUCUUACUUCAAUCUGAUUCCGUACUGCCGUUAAGAUUUAGGGUUCCAAGUGUGUGAGUGCUCUUUGAUUCUUCAGAUUCGAUACCAUUUUUAUGAUAUAGAAUUAGGGUUUAGAUUUGCGGGUUGUUCAUCUGAAUCCAAAAUUGUUUGACCCAUAUAAUUGAUUUGAUUCAGCUACUGUAUGAACGAAUUGUUGUUAUUGUCUUGCAUAGAUUUGAUUUGUGAUAUUGAAUGAAUUGUACUGAUUGAUUGCUUUUAUCUUCCACCAGCUUGACAGGUUCAUACCGAAUAGAUCAGCCAUGGAUUUCGACUAUGCUCACUUUGCCCUCACUGAAGGAAGAAAAGGUAACGAUCAGGCAUCAGCGGUAAGUUCACCAUCCAAAGAGGCCUACAGGAACCAAUUGGCUGAGACCAUGAAUCUCAAUCACACUCGGAUUCUCGCCUUCAGAAACAAACCUCAAGCUCCUGUAGAACUGCUUCCCAGCAAUCACUCUUCUUCUCUUCACCAACAACCCAAAUCCGUCAAGCCUCGUAGAUACAUUCCUCAGGUCUGUACUGUAUGUUUUGCGUUUGAUUUAAAGCCUACCUACUUGUUGCUGUUUUGGAGUUGUAUUGAUCUGUUGUUAAUCUUUUUGUUGUAAUGAUAGACUUCUGAGAGAACCUUAGAUGCACCUGACAUUGUGGAUGACUUCUACCUCAACUUGCUGGACUGGGGCAGUGCUAAUGUCCUAGCCAUAGCUUUGGGCCACACUGUUUAUUUGUGGGAUGCUUCCACUGGUUCUACAUCUGAGCUUGUGACCAUUGAUGAGGAGAAGGGACCUGUCACAAGUAUCAACUGGGCACCUGAUGGUCGUCAUGUUGCUGUUGGACUCAACAACUCUGAAGUCCAGCUUUGGGAUUCUGCAUCUAACCGUCAA